GAUGAAGAACGUAGCGAAAUGCGAUAAGUAAUGUGAAUUGCAGAAUUCAGUGAAUCAUCGAAUCUUCGAACGCACAUUGCGCCCCCUGGUAUUCCGGGGGGCAUGCCUGUUCGAGCGUCAUUUCACCACUCAAGCCUCGCUUGGUAUUGGGCAACGCGGUCCGCCGCGUGCCUCAAAUCGACCGGCUGGGUCUUCUGUCCCCUAAGCGUUGUGGAAACUAUUCGCUAAAGGGUGUUCGGGAGGCUACGCCGUAAAACAACCCCAUUUCUAAGGUUGACCUCGGAUCAGGUAGGGAUACCCGCUGAACUUAAGCAUAUCAAUAAGCGGAGA
rnacentral:misc_RNA from 1 species